GCCGGGCGGGGCGAGCGCUCCAGGCCUCCUCCCGACCCUGCGCCGUGCCCAGCCCCUCUGCCCUCCUGUUACCCCGGGACCUCGGGCCGCCAGCCCCUUCCACGUGCAGGCUCCUGCUGCUCUCGCGGGGGCUUUUCGUGUGUCCCCCGAGAUGUCGAGGAAGCCAGGUGAGUUCCUCGCGACAGGCGGUGCCCUUUGCAGGAGGGGACAGGUAGCUGAGGCGUGGACAGAGUGACAGGCCAGGCUCAGGGGACACAGGUGAGACCCCCUCACUGGGCUGCCAGUUCCCGGGCUUGGGGCAUCCCAGUACGUCAGCGUCUGCGGCCUUACCUCCUGACACCUAAGGCCAGAGACAGAGCAGGCCCGCGCCCUGGGAGGUCCUGAUGUCCAGCCUGAAGAUUGAGGACAAAGCCACCACCUUUCACAAAAUGAGGCCAGACCACCUGCCUCCCUCCAGUCCCUGCGGCCUGGAGACGGAGUCAACAUUCUUAUCUGUGUUGGAUCUGAAUGUUCCUCCUUGCAAAGGAAACAAGGAGUGGACGUUCAGGCUGAUGGCCAGCUUCAAAGAUCGGGGCCUUUGAUUCCCAUCACUGGGAAGAAAGCCCUUCAGACAAGCCCCCCCAGGCUGCAGGUGCAUGGGGACCUUGAAGAACCCGUCCCCAUGGUCCCACGUCCAUGUGUCUCGAGACCUGUCGCAUCCUCGCUGAAACUCAAGAAUGUGAAACAGGUGAAGGUGUGUUUUGACGCAUUAGCAUACCAGGGCUGUGGUGUGGGCACCGCCGUGUGAGUGAGACAGCAGCCUCAGCCCGUCCAGGUCACUGCAGAAGAGGAAAGCAGCCCCCACAGGCCCCACAGUGGUGCUCGCCUUUCUCCACCCCCCAGUCUUUCCUCUCCACCCCUCAGCUCCAAACAGCUGGAGGUCAGGUCGGGGAGACGGGCGUCCAUUCCCGAAAUUACAUAGCAGGGCCUGGAGACAGGAGAUGCCGCCGGCCAGACCACCAUCAGUCACUAAUGAGGGAUGGGCAGUCGGAACUGCCCAGUUUCUGAGUUACAGAAGCCGGGGGUGGGGGGCUGCCAGACUAGUAAAACUGACCUUGUUGGCGGAAUCGCUCACGGCUUUUCUGUUGAUGAACAGAGUCCAGCUCUCCCACGGGUGGCUGUGAUCCUUCUUCCUGGGGAGUCCUGCUGUCCCUGACUAGGGGCACCUGCCCACCUGUCAGCUGCUCCUCCCUCGGCUGGUCCUCCUGGGCUCUGAUGGCCCCAACAUUUCUAGCUCUUCUCACCCAUAGUGCCCCAAGCUUCAUGCAGCUGCGGCAGGAUGCUGUAACAAGCUGUCAUCUCGGGAGGAGACACCAGGCCCUGACCAGACGCUGAACAUGCCAGCACCUUCAUCUUGGACUUUCCAGCCCCCAGAACUGUGAGAAAUAAAUUUCUGUUCUUUAUAAGUACCUAGUCCAUGGUGUUUUGUUACAGCAGCAUGAACAGACUGAGAUAGCGGCUUACAUGUAACCGGAAGCUGCAGAAAAACAUCUUCAGACAGCUGAGACGGCUCCCAGGACUCGUGCCUGGCACAGACACCAUCUGCCUGGCAGGGCAAAGAAAGGCGUCUGUGAGUGUGGGAGGAUUCCG
rnacentral:lncRNA from 10 species